UGGGGAAUAUUGCACAAUGGGCGAAAGCCUGAUGCAGCGACGCCGCGUGCGGGAUGAAGGCCUUCGGGUUGUAAACCGCUUUUAAUUGGGAGCAAGCGAGAGUGAGUGUACCUUUUGAAUAAGCACCGGCUAACUACGUGCCAGCAGCCGCGGUAAUACGUAGGGUGCAAGCGUUAUCCGGAAUUAUUGGGCGUAAAGAGCUCGUAGGCGGUUUGUCACGCCUGGUGUGAAAGUCCAUCGCUUAACGGUGGAUCUGCGCCGGGUACGGGCAGGCUAGAGUGCAGUAGGGGAGAUUGGAAUUCCCGGUGUAACGGUGGAAUGUGUAGAUAUCGGGAAGAACACCAAUGGCGAAGGCAGAUCUCUGGGCUGUUACUGACGCUGAGGAGCGAAAGCAUGGGGAGCGAACAGGAUUAGAUACCCUGGUAGUCCAUGCCGUAAACGGUGGAUGCCUGGAUGUGGG
rnacentral:rRNA from 1 species